rfam:Clostridiales bacterium S5-A11 contig040, whole genome shotgun sequence.
AAUCAUUAUAAAGCGCCAGAACCAAAUGGUUGACGAGGGAUGGAGUGAUCGAAAAUUCGGCGGAUGCUCCAAGGGUAUCACAGCCCCAGCACUUAACAAAACUUUUACAGACAAAAAUAGUGCAGUGAGUCUC